GCGCUGGGUUUACCUAGUACAGGAAAACCAUUUCACUCGUCUACCCCCACAAGGAGGGAGGGUUUUACAGCCCGGUACUGGCUCAGGAACGCGGAGGUUGGAUGAGGCCGGUAGGGUACUUUUCAAUAAGGCAAGUAGGGUGCCCCGAUACAUUGCAGCAACUGACUGUGCGUCAUGGGCAGCGAAGGCCUGCGUACCCAUAGUAGUGGCAGGGGAGUUGAUACUGCACAUGAAACACACUGUGGUGGAAUUGCUCAACACCAGGAAAAGCUGAGAACUGUGUCAGAUAGCAGGCCAGCAGCGUGGGAAGCCAUGCUAUUACCAAAGGGCAAGUCAGUGGUAAUAAUCCGCGACUCUACGGUCAAUCCAGCAGGGGGGCUCAUUGUUAGCAAGGGAAGGAACAUGUCAUUGAACUAGAACUUUAUUGUCUGCGGGGGGGGAUAGGUGAGGAAAGCCUGGGGACGCUGAGGGAAAAUGGGUUAGAAGCCAUAGCCAUGUCCCUGUUCGCUAACGGGUCCCGCAGAUACGUGGAUGGGAUCCCCUGUACUGGAUGGGCUGCUGUCGAUGGAGAAGGGCAGAGCUUGGACACGGGUAAGCUAACAGGGGACCUUUCAGCCCAAGGAGCGGAGCUGGUAGCGUUAAAAGAGGCCUUGCAUAUGUCGGAGGGGAAAACAGCUAAUAUUUAUACCGGUAGUGGAUAAGUCUUUCAGGUAGUGCACGAUUAUGUGGUUGCUUGGAGCUGGAGGGGUACAUUACAUCAGGAGGAGGAGGAGGAGGACACGUACAACAUGAAGCGAGAGUUACGGAACUAUUGGCAGCUGCGAAGCUACCACGAGAGGCAGCGGUAAUCAAGGUCAAGGCCCACCAGAAGGUGGCGGAUCCCAGUGAAUUGGGCAACCAACGGGUGGAUGCAGCAGCUAAGGAGGCUGCAGCAAUCAGUCCGGGGAACCAGAUGGCCACAGUAACCAUCGGGCCCGAGGAGAACUAAUCUCGACCGAUGGGUGAUGACUGGGGCAGUUAUUGGCUUAAUUUACAGAAUGUUAACUGCCAUAUCAAUAAUCGUGGGGCUGGGAAUCCUAGCGGUGAGAACGGAGAAUAUUGCCCAACAAACACCACAGAUGGGACUAUGGUAUACCACAAGCAGUGCGGAGUGCAACACCCAAUAUGGGUCACUGAAUGUAACAAUAGGGGAGCAAGUAACUUUGCAUUGCAGUAUGGGUCUACUUAAGUUUGGGCACAGAAGCAGUAACGACUUGACACACGUGGACAGUUGGUGGGGUCUCUUUAGUAAAACCAGUUUGUUUGUUAAAUGCCUGAGUCUAAAUGAUGAAUGUUUUAAAUAUGAGGAAUGGAAUGAUUUUGUUUGUGAGAAAGCAAGUCACAUGCAUAAGGCAUGUCUGACAGGGUAUGCCCAGUUUUUUACUCAUUCUCUCCCCGAGAAUCAGGGAUGGGACACUUGUGGUCCGAAUGACAAUAAUAGACAAGUAUGGACAGGGGGCAAUAAUAGAGGUCGUGGGGAGUAUACCCCAAGGAAAGAAUCAUUACAACCACUCCACCACCUGUCACGACAACGAGGCAAUCAGUCCCAGCAGAUACAUUUAAAACCCCAUAAACCCCCACGCCAACAGACCCACCUUGUCCAAUAUGAAGCCCAGGACCAGAAAAUGGACUUGUGCUGAUUAAUGAUAAUAAGAUCUUGUAUGAUAAUAUACACCAUGAGCUGGUACCGUGGUCCUAAACAUUUCCCAUAUAACCUACCCUGACGAUGCUCAAUUCAUACUCAAGCACUGUAUACGACCUUGAUGGGUCAGUUAAUGAUAGAUGCAGCUCAGUUCAAUGGUGGAACAUGGCCAAUGGCCCAGGGGAAGAGCCAUCUGAAGUGCAGCCUGGUAAAUGAUGUCGCUACAGUGCUCAAUUCAGGAACCUGGGUAAUUAAUUCUAUUGACCUAGCUACUGUGGACCAAAAGAUCUGAACCUUAAGUUCACAGGUAAAGAAAAUUUUAGAAAAGGGGCAAGGGAUCCAAGACGCUCAACUAGGCACAGGCCAAGACCUGACAUGAAUAGUUCAAAACUUGACCACUGUGCUGGAGAUCAUGCGGGAAUUAACAAAUUAAUUGGAAUGGGUAGGAAAAUUUUGGAUGCUACAAAUAGGAUCGAUGUCUGCAGUACUAAUGGAUCAUGGGUGCUUGAACAAACACGAGAGAAUUUAAGGCAGGUAUGGUUCAUUUAGUGUGCUUACACCCACAGAUGCCGGCAAGAGUGGGGAAGGUAGAACUGGUUGAAAUAUAUGAGAGGGGAAUAGUUAAUGUUCAAGCUGAGGAAAGUGUUAAAGACAACCUAAUGCAGUAUCUGACCCAGUUCUCCUAUGCUAUCCCACUAUUGCCCCAACACUUCACCCUAAUCCGGGAUGCUUCCUUUAUGGGUAACAUAAUCAUGACUUGACCGGUUGCCAACUCAGGGGCUUAACGUGUGUAUGAGACUGAUGCCGAAUGUAUUAUGGAUAAUAACAUGUUGAUCGGCAUUGUCUUGUUGAUACCUGUUAUACCCAAGUCGACACCCAGCAGGAUGUUAUAUAGGGUAGAGAAUAUAGGGGUAAUCAAGGGAAAUCAUUAUGUAAGAUAUCACAAUAUACAUCAUACAGAGUGGUGAUAGAGGCUAGUAUGGUUAGUACUUCAUUAGAUGGAUGCAGUAUAGAAGCCACCUUAGUAGUAUGCGAUCAUCCAAUAUACGAAACGGAAGAGGCAAGUUGCGGAUUUAAUGCUACAGCCAAUUGUACAAUGGAGACUUUAUGGGUUGCAAAAGAACCAACCCACGUUGCAUACAUGGGUAAUGGGAGAUAUUGUAUUACCACGUGGCAGCAAGAGUUCCAGUACGGGAACAACUGGUCAUGCCCCAUAUACAACCAUUCAGUGUGCUUACACCCACAGGUGCCGGCAAGAGUGGGGAAAGUAGAACUGGUUGAAAUAUAUGAGAGGGGAAUAGUUAAUGUUCAAGCUGAGGUAAGUGUUAAAGACAACCUGAUGCAGUAUCUGACCCAGUUCUCCCAUGCUAGCCCAUUAUUGCCCCAACACUUCACCCUAAUCCGGGAUGAGGCCCAGUGAGUGUAUAGGACAUAUUAUACACUCCAGCAACAGAUUCAAACCUUAAAUUACAACAUUAGACAAAUAGACUCUUAUCACCUGGUGGGAGGAACUGUGGAAUUGGGGAUCGAAUGUACAGAUACAGCUGUGGAUUCGGAUCAUCUCCCAUGCCCAACCGUUAUCAAUUUUAUAUUUAACAUACCUGAUCUAUCGCACCAGGAGGUCACACAGCAAAUGGCGAUGGGGACUUAAAAGUUGGGGCAAAGUGCUAAAUUGAAGGGCCGACUAGUAAAAAUGGUUUGGCCGAGUACCUUUACAACCCUAAGCUGGAUACCUGGCCAGUAUCGAUGGGUGGUGGAGUGUAAAGGGAAAGGACAGUACCAUUGAAUUGGCCACCUUGGGCUAGGGAAGGGGCCAAAAGGGGGGGGGACUGUAAGAGUAAAACAGGGACUUCUAUUAGUAAAAACCAAAAGUCGGCAGAAUUCUCCAGGCAAACCUUGUACACCAUAGGGCCGAGGUUAGCAGAACUCUCCAGAAAGACCUUGGAGAUCACAAGGGAUUAACUAGAUAGGAGACAAAAGUCGGGGGGGUAUUAGGAUAAACAGACAAGGUGAAGACAAACAGCACCAGGCUAGAACGGGAUAAAGAGGCCUUGCUUGGGUAACAAAAAGAUAUGUACCUGGGACUGGGAACAUCUACUUAUUAUUUGAUUAUGUGCUGAUAAGAUUGGAAUUUGCAUAAGGCAAUGUGUAUGUGACUAACUGUAUAAAAAAGAUGGUUAUCCUGUAACCGGGAGAGUUCUGUUUUUAGCUAGUCUAAGGCAAGAUCUCCCUGUGUUGCUUGAAUAAAAUGAUCGUUAACCU